AAAUUUAUAUUUGUAUACCAGAUGUUUGUAUGUGUUAGGGAAAAUAUUUGUUAAUUAGGAGGAAGGGCUCCUUUUAGGUGUCUGAUGUAUAGUGGUAGUACCUUAGAUAUGUGAGCAGUACUGUAAUAUUGUUCUAAGAUUUUUAUGUGUGUAAUGGCAGCACUGUCACUGAUAUGUGGACGGUACUGUAAUGCAGAUCUGAGAGGUUUGUGUACGUAACAGCAACACAGUCACAGAUAUAUGAGCAAUACUGUAAUGUAGAUCUGGGAAUUUUGUGUAUAUCUGACUUUGCGAGACAGGAGUACUUUGCUUCAAUGUAUAACAGGAGCAGCACUACUCCAGAUGUGUAAUGACCACUUCUGUGAAAAGGUCCUAUGUGAGCUUAUGGUAUCUACAGUUAUGUUACCCCAGUAUAGGUGACAUUUAAGAUUUGUUGACUAUCAACGAACUGAAUAUAAAUGAUAUUCCUUUUACGACAACAAAAUAUAAUGUGAUUGGAAUAACUCUUCAAUUAAGUAGUCCCACCAAGUGUUAAAACUCUGAAAUAUUUUAGAGCAGAUCCGUGCUGAAAAUAUAACGUACUGAAAAUAUAAUGGGAAACUUUGCUCCGAUGGUUUUUCUUAUCCAUCAUUUACACACAGACUAGAACAGUUAUGGAAACAACAUGAAAUUUUCAAUGCUAAAAAACUGAACGAAGCAGGUUAAAUUUAA
rnacentral:lncRNA from 1 species